UACAGAGGGCGCGAGCGUUUGUCCGGAAUCACUGGGCGUAAAGAGCGCGCAGGCGGUCGUAUAAGUCGAAUGUGAAAGCCCCCGGCUCAACUGGGGAGAGUCAUUCGAUACUGUUCGACUCGAAGGCAGGAGAGGGAAGUGGAAUUCCGGGUGUAGUGGUGAAAUGCGUAGAUAUCAGGAGGAACACCGAUGGCGAAGGCAGAUCUCUGGGCCGUAACUGACGCUGAGGAGCGAAAGCAUGGGGAGCGAACAGG
rnacentral:rRNA from 1 species